rnacentral:sRNA from 1 species
UUUAAAUAAUAUUAGCUUGCCAUUUUGAUACAGUUAAAAUCUUCAGUUUAUUAACAAUUAUCUCGUGGAAUCGUGGGAUACAGUUACUUAAUAACAAUUGUAAACUAUAAAAUAUAAAUA